UAUGAUCCAGUUAUAAGCCACUCAUGGAAAUAGAUUCGAGAGGCUAACGAAGAUAAAUAUUUAUUUUGCUCAAACAAGUUAAAGAAGAAGAGGAAACACUACCCUAUAGUCAGAUCAAGAAAAUGCACCGAGUUGUUCAGGGAAAGGGAAUCGUGUCAACUCAAUUCAGGAGUGACCAAGAGGGCCAUAAUGAGCCUUUUGAUGAUAUGACACUAAGUCAAGCCGGAUACAAAGUACAGGAUAAUGUUUCAAAGUCAGAAACAAAGCCGUCUGGAAUUCCAGUGCCAUUGCUGUCUGCAUAUCUCAUCAGUGUACAUGAACAGCGUGCUUUCAACUCAUUGGACAACUCUCUCCGGUCGUUUGUUAUACAGGGAAUCAAUAGAAUCGAUUCCUCUUUGAAUGUUGGUCUGUUGAUCUAUUAUAAUUUCACUGAGCAUGGAGUUUCUUUUCGUCUCACGCUGUGGGUUGCACUUCAGUGAUGGUAUACAGUGGGUAUACUGGUGCAGUUGUGAUAGUGCACGUGGCCACUUACUAAAUAGCUGCUCCACUUCGGUUGAUUCCACAUAUGAUGCAUUCACAAGCAUUGUUGGCUCUGAAUGUAUCCACAUCGAACCAACUAGACUGAUUAUCCAAGAGACUGACAAUAUUCACAACAUUACAUCAGCUCAAGAAUUAUCAGAUCAUUCGUAUACUUUGAAUAUCGAACCUCACAAGGAGGACACCUCCUACAGUAUAAAUGUUGGCACAGAGGUUGUAUGCUCUAUUGGGCAGGCGGUAUGUACAAGAGCUGAUAUAGUGGCCAUGUGUUGUACAAGUUCGUAUUGAUGAUAAACAAUUAAGGGGUCUGUACUGUUGUACAUGCAUGCAAGUACAAUAAACAGCACAGUUCACAUGUGGAUAUUGUCGAGAAAGCAUUGAAUAGCCCGGAUGAGGAUAAACAUGACUGCCUCAAUAAAAUUGCAAAAGAUCUGUCUAGUGUGCAGCAGAAUAGACAAGUGCAUGUGCAUGCAUCAGUAUCGGUCCCUUAAUUUCAUCAAGCAGUAUAUACCGUUCAAUUUAUCAAGUGAAUUGUCUCAACAACUGGCAUGUACUGUAGCUGAUCGCUUCAACAUUGUAAACAACACUUCUAUUUUGGGCUCAGUUGACACAUAUUGUAAAGAGUGCAGUACGCUUACACGAGAUGAAGAAGACAAGCAGGAAUCUGUACGGAGCAAAAUUAUACUGCUCAAUACAGUUAUCAAUGCGAAUGUGCAUGUUAGGUAUUGCUCAGGAUGUAAGAAACGUAAAGAAUUUGAUGGCCAACUAGUAGGAUUAGUGACUAUGGGCAAGUUCCUGGUAUCCUAUGAAGUUCUGCGAGGUUUUAUGCAUCAAUUCCUUUUGGGAAGAACAACUAUAUAUACCCAGUAUUGUGUGUUGGUUAAAAACCAUGAAGAUGCAGGAUUCGGCGAUCAGUUUAAUAAGUAUAAUAUGUGUUUACAUACAAUCACUAUCGGUUGUCGUGGUAUGCCUUUCUUGACCUGUUAGACAUUGAUUAUCAAGUAGGAUUUCAGUACACUGCGUGUGGAGAUUGUCCACCCAUUGUUGUCAUGGAUGCUACUUGUUUAGCAUUCAGAAAAGACCUUAUGCCCUGGAAGUCCCAACUCAACGGUUCUGGAGUUCAUAAAACCUCAUCCCCUAUCAGCUGUACUGGAAGAUAAGUGCAAAUUUUCCCAUGUCAUCAACCACUGUAUAUAAUGAUUAUAUAUAUAAUGAUAGUCCUCCCUGAGCUAAGACAAAAUAAAUACCUUGCCAAGCAUGCAUGCACAGAUUUAUUCAAAACUUGAAUCCAUUUGUAGAAGAUGCCUCUCAUCAUAGUAAUCAUAUACAGUGUGGCGAAAGCUGUUUUACUUAUUUAGCAAUUAUUGUUGUGAUAAGUUUAGGAUCAUGCGGACAGCUGAAAAGUUACUGUAUUUAUUUUCUUUCAACACUAGUUUCCAUGAUCGGAUAUACAUCAACAACAAGACAAUUACAUGCACGCAGCUGAAGAUGUUUACUACAAAGAAGUGUAUAAGCCAGCAUGAAUUCACUUCUCUUCUAGAAUUACUAUAUUUGCACGCACCAAGUUUGGUCAAACUUAUCACCACAAUAGCUAAAGAAGUCAACGAGGCUGAUACAGCUGUCUCCUGUUGCAAGCACUGGAUUAAUUUACUGCAAGCUCUCAGUUCAGCAUCACCUGUGUGUGCUUUGGUACCACCUACAGAAGAAGUGCACAAAAUGCUAAAGGAAAUGGAGUCUUCUGGCUCCUUGAAGUCAAAUGCAAAAAAGAUGGCCUUUCUACAAAAGGAAGCUCCAGUACUGUUCACUUUAAUUGAAUGUCUUCCUUCUUACCCCACUGAAGCAUUGCAGCCUAUACUAAAAAGGCUUGUGGAAUUAUCAUUAGCCCCAUUUACGCAAGACUUCACAGAGUCUAGUACUGGUGACCACACUGACAUUAAUGAUGAUGAUAUGAUAUCGUACUUUCCAAAGCUUCCUUCACUAAGAAAACGAAAGAUUUAUAAGGCUGACAGUUCUAAAUCCUCUGUAUAUGUACAAAAAAAAAGCUCAAGACAUCCAUCACUGCUACCGGGGAUAUUUACUCUGUAUUGUCAGCAUGGAAUUUGCUAUGGAUUCCAACUGAUGGAAGUUCAGGAAUCCCCCAACAUUCCUUUCACUAUCUUAUAUGAACGAUUCUCAUUAGCACCUGAAGUCAUCAUAUACGACAAUAGUUGCAACCUGCACCAAUACUGCUUGAAUAGAGAGCCCCCCUUUUUCAGGCACAGUCGGUUUCUAUAGGUCUAGUAGAUCGUUUCCAUUGGCCAAAUCAUUCAGGAUGCAGUGUUGCUUACAAAAUGAGCACCUAUAGACAAUAAUGAUGCCUUGAACAGCCAGAUGGUAGAGCAAAGCAAUUCAUGCUUGAAGAGAAUCAAAUCGUCACUGUCGUAUAUGAAUAAAAGAAAUUUCCUCACACAUUGUGGAUUUUAUUUAUGGUAUCACAAUCAGAAAAAACUAUAAGUAUAAUGUACUCACAUGCAUGAUGGUCUUGUCAUGCACUUUUUGUUUUUACAACCAUGAAUUUAAAAUUGUGGCGUCACUUG